rnacentral:rRNA from 1 species
GUAGGCGGUUUGUCGCGUCUGCUGUGAAAGGCCGGAGCUUAACUCCGUGUAUUGCAGUGGGUACGGGCAGACUAGAGUGCAGUAGGGGAGACUGGAAUUCCUGGUGUAGCGGUGGAAUGCGCAGAUAUCAGGAGGAACACCGAUGGCGAAGGCAGGUCUCUGGGCUGUAACUGACGCUGAGAAGCGAAAGCAUGGGGAGCGAACAGGAUUAGAUACCCUGGUAGUCCAUGCCGUAAACGUUGGGCACUAGGUGUGGGGRACAUUCCACGUUUUCCGCGCCGUAGCUAACGCAUUAAGUGCCCCGCCUGGGGAGUACGGCCGCAAGGCUAAAACUCAAAGAAAUUGACGGGGGCCCGCACAAGCGGCGGAGCAUGCGGAUUAAUUCGAUGCAACGCGAAGAACCUUACCAAGGCUUGACAUAUACUGGACCGCAUCAGAGAUGGUGUUUCCCUUCGGGGCUGGUAUACAGGUGGUGCAUGGUUGUCGUCAG